rnacentral:rRNA from 1 species
AGAGUUUGAUCCUGGCUCAGGAUGAACGCUAGCUACAGGCUUAACACAUGCAAGUCGAGGGGCAGCAUGAACUUAGCUUGCUAAGUUUGAUGGCGACCGGCGCACGGGUGAGUAACACGUAUCCAACCUGCCGUCUACUCUUGGACAGCCUUCUGAAAGGAAGAUUAAUACAAGAUGGCAUCAUGAGUCCGCAUGUUCACAUGAUUAAAGGUAUUCCGGUAGACGAUGGGGAUGCGUUCCAUUAGAUAGUAGGCGGGGUAACGGCCCACCUAGUCUUCGAUGGAUAGGGGUUCUGAGAGGAAGGUCCCCCACAUUGGAACUGAGACACGGUCCAAACUCCUACGGGAGGCAGCAGUGAGGAAUAUUGGUCAAUGGGCGAGAGCCUGAACCAGCCAAGUAGCGUGAAGGAUGACUGCCCUAUGGGUUGUAAACUUCUUUUAUACGGGAAUAAAGUGAGGCACGUGUGCCUUUUUGUAUGUACCGUAUGAAUAAGGAUCGGCUAACUCCGUGCCAGCAGCCGCGGUAAUACGGAGGAUCCGAGCGUUAUCCGGAUUUAUUGGGUUUAAAGGGAGCGUAGAUGGAUGUUUAAGUCAGUUGUGAAAGUUUGCGGCUCAACCGUAAAAUUGCAGUUGAUACUGGAUAUCUUGAGUGCAGUUGAGGCAGGCGGAAUUCGUGGUGUAGCGGUGAAAUGCUUAGAUAUCACGAAGAACUCCGAUUGCGAAGGCAGCCUGCUAAGCUGCAACUGACAUUGAGGCUCGAAAGUGUGGGUAUCAAACAGGAUUAGAUACCCUGGUAGUCCACACGGUAAACGAUGAAUACUCGCUGUUUGCGAUAUACGGCAAGCGGCCAAGCGAAAGCGUUAAGUAUUCCACCUGGGGAGUACGCCGGCAACGGUGAAACUCAAAGGAAUUGACGGGGGCCCGCACAAGCGGAGGAACAUGUGGUUUAAUUCGAUGAUACGCGAGGAACCUUACCCGGGCUUAAAUUGCAGAUGAAUUACGGUGAAAGCCGUAAGCCGCAAGGCAUCUGUGAAGGUGCUGCAUGGUUGUCGUCAGCUCGUGCCGUGAGGUGUCGGCUUAAGUGCCAUAACGAGCGCAACCCUUGUUGUCAGUUACUAACAGGUUCCGCUGAGGACUCUGACAAGACUGCCAUCGUAAGAUGUGAGGAAGGUGGGGAUGACGUCAAAUCAGCACGGCCCUUACGUCCGGGGCUACACACGUGUUACAAUGGGGGGUACAGAGGGCCGCUACCACGCGAGUGGAUGCCAAUCCCAAAAACCUCUCUCAGUUCGGAUCGAAGUCUGCAACCCGACUUCGUGAAGCUGGAUUCGCUAGUAAUCGCGCAUCAGCCACGGCGCGGUGAAUACGUUCCCGGGCCUUGUACACACCGCCCGUCAAGCCAUGAAAGCCGGGGGUACCUGAAGUGCGUAACCGCAAGGAGCGCCCUAGGGUAAAACUGGUGAUUGGGGCUAAGUCGUAACAAGGUAGCCGUACCGGAAGGUGCGGCUG